CCUUUUGUAUAAUGGGUCAGCGACUUAUAUUCUGUAGCAAGGUUAACCGAAUAGGGGAGCCGGAGGGAAACCGAGUCUUAACCGGGCGUUAAGUUGCAGGGUAUAGACCCGAAACCCGGUGAUCUAGCCAUGGGCAGGUUGAAGGUUGGGUAACACUAACUGGAGGACCGAACCGACUAAUGUUGAAAAAUUAGCGGAUGACCUGUGGCUGGGGGUGAAAGGCCAAUCAAACCGGGAGAUAGCUGGUUCUCCCCGAAAGCUAUUUAGGUAGCGCCUCGUGAAUUCAUCUCCGGGGGUAGAGCACUGUUUCGGCUAGGGGGCCAUCCCGGCUUACCAACCCGAUGCAAACUGCGAAUACCGGAGAAUGUUAUCACGGGAGACACACGGCGGGUGCUAACGUCCGUCGUGAAGAGGGAAACAACCCAGACCGCCAGCUAAGGUCCCAAAGUCAUGGUUAAGUGGGAAACGAUGUGGGAAGGCCCAGACAGCCAGGAUGUUGGCUUAGAAGCAGCCAUCAUUUAAAGAAAGCGUAAUAGCUCACUGGUCGAGUCGGCCUGCGCGGAAGAUGUAACGGGGCUAAACCAUG
rnacentral:rRNA from 1 species